CACCAAAGCUCCGAUUUUUUGACGAGCGCAUCUAUUAGAUUAAAACCAAUCGGGUUUCGGCCCGUCAAUUGGUGACUCUGAAUAACUAUGGCUGAUCGCAUGGUCUUGAACCGGCGACGUGUCUAUCAAGUGUCUGCCUUAUCAACUGUCGAUGGUAGUUUAUGUGCCUACCAUGGUUGUAACGGGUAACGGAGAAUAAGGGUUCGACUCCGGAGAGGGAGCCUGAGAAACGGCUACCACAUCCAAGGAAGGCAGCAGGCGCGCAAAUUACCCACUCUCGGCAUGAGGAGGUAGUGACGAAAAAUAACGAGACCGUUCUCUCUGAGGCCGGUUAUCGGAAUGGGUACAAUUUAAACCCGUUAACGAGGAUCUAUGAGAGGGCAAGUCUGGUGCCAGCAGCCGCGGUAAUUCCAGCUCUCAAAGUGUAUAUCGUCAUUGCUGCGGUUAAAAAGCUCGUAGUUGGAUCUGCGCCUCAGGACUUGGUCCGCCCACUGGGCGAGAACUGGGCUCCUGGGCUAGUACUGCUGGUUUUCCCUACGUUGCCUUCAUCGGUCGCGUAGGGUGGCUAGCGAGUUUACUUUGAAAAAAUUAGAGUGCUUCACGCGGGCUUAUGUCUGAAUACUCGUGCAUGGAAUAAUAGAAUAGGAUCUCGGUUCUAUUUUGUUGGUUUUCUGAUCUGAGAUAAUGGUUAAGAGGGACGGACGGGGGCAUUCGUAUCGCUGCGUGAGAGGUGAAAUUCUUGGACCGUAGCGAGACGUCCGACUGCGAAAGCAUUUGCCAAGAAUGUCUUCAUUAAUCAAGAACGAAAGUCA
rnacentral:rRNA from 2 species